CCUACGGGUGGCAGCAGUGGGGAAUAUUGCACAAUGGGCGCAAGCCUGAUGCAGCCAUGCCGCGUGUGUGAAGAAGGCCUUCGGGUUGUAAAGCACUUUCAGCGGGGAGGAAGGCGGUGAGGUUAAUAACCUCAUCGAUUGACGUUACCCGCAGAAGAAGCACCGGCUAACUCCGUGCCAGCAGCCGCGGUAAUACGGAGGGUGCAGGCGUUAAUCGGAAUUACUGGGCGUAAAGCGCACGCAGGCGGUCUGUCAAGUCGGAUGUGAAAUCCCCGGGCUCAACCUGGGAACUGCAUUCGAAACUGGCAGGCUAGAGUCUUGUAGAGGGGGGUAGAAUUCCAGGUGUAGCGGUGAAAUGCGUAGAGAUCUGGAGGAAUACCGGUGGCGAAGGCGGCCCCCUGGACAAAGACUGACGCUCAGGUGCGAAAGCGUGGGGAGCAAACAGGAUUAGAUACCCCGGUAGUC
rnacentral:rRNA from 1 species